AGGGUCCAGCUGCGCUCUAUAGCAGGUAGAUGCACUCCUUACUGGCUUACUGAAAUCCACACUGAACAUAGUCACCACAUCACUAAGGAUAGUGAAGUCACUUGAAGGCAUCUGGUUCAGUUGGAUAUCGCAAACAGAAGGAACACCUGGACAGUUCUCCAUUUCUGAAGGGGAGACAAUAAUUUUUUCACCAUCCUCUGCUUCAACAUGAACAGGAAACAGUUUGUUCCAGGACCACAUUCUUUUGGAUUCCACUAACUGGACAUACACUGUUGCCCUGUGAGGCACUGCCUCACAUCCUUCCUGUACAAGGUAUUUGUGCGCAUGCUCGUAGGUUGGUAAAGCACCUUCUCCUAUCAGCUCUGUGUCAAAUAAUUCUGUUACCAAGAUAUUUGCACGACACUGCAUAUCUCCAUCUGGCCCAACUGUGACUUCAGUGGAGUGCUUGUUGAUUACCUUGAUCUUGUCACCAAAAC
rnacentral:lncRNA from 1 species